rnacentral:sRNA from 1 species
AUUAACUGUAAUUGUGAAAAGGUUGGAAGAUCUGGG